AUGGAACAGAAUAGAAGACACAGAGAAAAAUCCCUCCAAAAUAGUUACCUCAUACUAGACAAAGGUGCCAAAAACAUACAUUGGAUAAAAGAUAGCCUCUCCAACAAAUGGUGCUGGGAAAACUGGAAAUCCAUAUGUAGUAGAAUGAGGUUUAACCCCUAUCUCUCACCCUGCACGAAACUCAACUCAAGGUAGAUCAAGGACCUAGGCAUUAGACCAGAAACCCUGCACCUAGUAAAAGAAAAUGUAGGCCCAGUACCCUAACAUAUCAGCUUGGGAACUGAGUUCCUUAACAAGACUCUUAAACCACAAGAAGUAAAACCAAUGAUCAGUAGAUGAAUGGCAUCAAACUAAAAAACUUCUUCAUAGCAAAGAAAAUAAUCAAGAGCAUGAAAAGAGAGCCAACAGAAUGGGAGAAAAUCUGUGCUACCUGCACCUAGAUAGAGCAUUAAUAUCCAGGAUAUAUAAAGAACUCAAAAAACUUAACACCAAAAACAAACAAAAACCCCCCAAAUAAUCCCAUUAAUAAAUGGGCAAAGGAACUGAAUAGACACUUCACAGAAGAAAUACAAUCUGUCAACAAAUAUAAGAAAAAAAAAUGUUCAACAUUUCUAGCAAUGUGAGAAAUACAGAUUAAAACUACACUGAGAUUCCAUCUUUCUCCAGUCAGAAUGGCAAUUAUCAAGGAUAUAAGUAACAAUAAAUGGGAGUGAGGAUGUGGG
rnacentral:lncRNA from 1 species